GAUGCAGCAGCUGGCUGAAGGCUCCAGAGGGUUCCCCGAGGUGGGACUGGCCUCUCCCCGUGUGUGUGGGCACCACAGUCCCUGGGCAAGCAGGGUGCUCUGGGACCGCACUUCAUCGAGCUCACGAGCCAGCUAGGCUCUGUUUGUGAUAGAAAAAUCAAGACCAUGUUAAUGAUCGUAAUAAAAGCUUUCUACUGUCGUUGGGGUGGUGGGUGGGGCUGGGAAGAAACUGGUUUGAGCUUUUAGAGUUUGCCUUUGUACCUUAGAGAUGUGUCUCAGGGCCAGGCAUGGGACCUGCCAUCGAGGGUUCCUCCCCGCACCCUCGAUUUUCCUGUUUUGCUUCUCUCUCCAUUUCUGUCCAGGCCUCCGCCCAAUUCCACAGUGAGGGGUGGUUAGGAGCUAUAGGCCGGGAUGGCUCCUUGGGAAGGGAAGUCGGGAUCCCAGGCUAGGAGGAAGCUGGCAGCCCCGUCCCCACUGGGCCCACAGUGUGAGUCGUGCCUUAGAGACUCCGGGUUGUCCUGUUCUUUCUGGGCUUGCUCAUCUCCCCCCAACCCUGUCCCACCCCACCCCUCCCAUACCUCCACUGCUGAAGUUCCUCCAGCCCCUCUGUCUGCCUUGUGAAGGUGGCAGGGGCCAGGUCUGCCUGACAUAGGACCACAUCCUGUCCCUCCCUCACCUGGAGCAGCACAGCAGAGUUCAGGCAGGGCACAGCCAGGCCCUGGUCAGCGCUGAAUGGCAGAGGAAAGAUCUUAGGAAAGGAGAGGAAUCGCCACCCCCUCCUGCCAACUGGGAUGACUGGGGAGGGCCACGCUCAUUCAAAGCUGAAUCAGAAACCAGCCGUGGAACAGAAUUCCUGCCGAGUCUUCCAGGGCCGCUCCUCCACCACCCUCCCCCAGGUUGAGGCACUAUGGCACCCUCAUCAGGAAGAGGUUUGGGGUCCCCUUGUUGUCACUGCUGGCUCUGCCACCCCAUCUUGUUCAUGGCAGCUGGUUGGGUCAGGUCCAUGGUAGAGCCAGGCCCUUCCCAGGGCUGCGGAGAAAACCUGCUCUCUUCUAGUCGGGCUUCUCCAGAAGCCAGUAAUCAGAAAGGAUGUGUCUCCUGCUCCAACUCUGCCCCCGAGACAGCUCAGAGCCAGAAGGCACCCCGAGACAGCUCAGAGCCAGAAGGCACCCCGAGACAGCUCAGAGCCAGAAGGCACCGAGGACUCUGGCCCAAGUGGGGAAGCUGAGGCAGAGAGCAGAGGGGGUCAUGCAGUGAGUGGGUGGGGUGCAGGAGACAGAGAGGGGCUGGGGGCGUGGGGUGGGGGUGUCUGCCUCUUCCCUCCACCUCCUCCCCUCCUUAGCAGCUGAAGACUCAGCCCUGAGGUCUGGGGCAAUGGAAGUCAAGACACCCGACCCCUACAUCCUGGGGUAGGCCCGACUCAGCAUCCUGUCCCAGCUUCAGCCCCACACUCAUUUCUGGCAUAGAAGAUUCCGCCGAGGCAGCUCUUUCCUCUCGGGGUCUGCCAGGGGUGCCUCAGCUGGUUCCUGCUCCCAGGCCUAGCCCCGAAGCCUUAGGGGCCUUCUCAGCCUUAGCCCUGGGUACUGGGGUGAAGUUGGCAGGGGAGAGCUUGACACUUCGCCUCCCUGAUGGCCAUGCUGAGGGACAGUGGUGACCCUGGUCACUUGGUGCUGGUGUAGGGGCCUGUGCCCUUCCAGGGCCAGUGAGACAGCCUUCUACUCCCCCGACCCAGAGCUGAGUCCGAGGACCCCAGGCCCACCUCCUGGCCCUCUUGGAGGUCUGUGCUCUUACCUCCCAGCCCCCACCCUGCGGGAGAGCAGCCCCAGCGCCUCAUCUCCCCAAAGGCGGCAGAUGCUUGAUUCUCCUGCCCUCUUUCUUCCUUCCCUCGUAUUUAUUUAUUUAUUUAUUGCUUGUGCUAAAGACCAAAAUAGUCUCCCUCUUUAGUGCACUUGAAGCGGGAGGGCGGAUGGGAUGAGCCAGGAGCGAGGAAGACUUGGCCCCUGGGGAGUGUGUGUGUGGAGGCGUGUGCCUGUGUGAGCCUGCAUGCAUACAUGUGUGGUGCACACAUGCACACUCGGCUCUUCAUGUGUAUGACUGGGUUAGUAAUACAGAUACGUGAUCUAUACGUGUGUGUGUGUGUGUGUGUGUGUGUGUGUGUGUAUGCAGGCGGUUAUGUGUCUGUCUACCCCCAGGUGUUUCCGUGUACAAGUUUCCUGUGAGGGAGGGCACCCACCCAUCAGGUUGGGCACUGGCACAGGUGAACCCCACAGUCCCCGACCCUCUGCCCUGAUUAUGCACGUCUGCUCCUGAGUGGAGCUUGUGUUCCAGGAUGAGACAUCUGGAGGUGAGCGUGUGCGUCCGGCUCGUGUGUAGGAGGCUGUGUGUGUGCCCAUGUGAAACCGUGUACUUGAGUGUGUGUCUGUGUGCAGCCUAUGCCUGCUGCUCAGAGCACGGUGGCCACCCCCUGAGCCUCUGCUGGUGCUGUGCUGCGUGGUCCCCACCCAGAGGGUCCUGGGGGGCGGGGAGGAGCCACCGUUGGGAGGCCCCUGUACGGGGUGUCUGCCCUGCGUGAGGGCAUAGAAUGUCAAAUUAUUUUAAAUGGUGAAACUGGAGAGUUUUCAUGUUAUUUUCAAUACAUAGCAGUAUCUAAAGACGUAGGCGAUGAGACUAGACCACAUUAAAUGCAUUUUGAUCUCUU
rnacentral:lncRNA from 10 species